GGUGAGUAACGCGUUGGUGACCUGCCCCAAAGUGUGGGAUAACAGUCCGAAAGGAUUGCUAAUACCUCAUGUGGCCAUCGGGUUUAGAAACCGAUGUCUAAAGCAGCAAUGCGCUUUGGGAGGGACCUGCGUCCCAUCAGCUAGUUGGUGAGGUAACGGCUCACCAAGGCGACGACGGGUAGGGGGCCUGAGAGGGUGGCCCCCCACAAUGGAACUGAAACACGGUCCAUACACCUACGGGUGGCAGCAGUAGGGAAUAUUGCACAAUGGGCGAAAGCCUGAUGCAGCAACGCCGCGUGAGCGAUGAGGCCUUCGGUCUAAGCUCUUUUUGGUGAGAGAAAGGAGAGAAGGCGCAAGUAUGCCAGGAAUAAAAAGUCUCGGCUAACUUACGUGCCAGCAGCCGCGGUAACACGUAGGACGCAAGCGUUAUCCGACAUUCACUGGGCGUAAAGCGCGUGCAGGUGGUUUGGUAAGUUGGGCGUGAAAUCUCCCGGCUCAACUGGGAGGGGCUCGUUCAAAACUACCAGACUCGAGAGCGAUAGAGGAAAAUGGAAUUCCCGGUGUAGUGGUGAAAUGCGUAGAUAUCGGAAGGAACACCGGGUGGGCGAAAGCGAUUUUCUGCAUCGUAUCUGACGCUCAGACGGCGGAAGCCUAGGCUAGCAAAACGUGGAUUAGAAGACCCCCGGUAGUCCUAGCUAGUAAACGAUGGUGGACUUAGGACGUUGGUUGUCUUAAACUCCAUCAGUGCCCGGAGCUAACGCGAAUAGUUCACCGGCUUGGGGUACUACGGCUGCAGGGUU
rnacentral:rRNA from 1 species